rnacentral:RNase_P_RNA from 1 species
UGAGUUGGCUAGGCGGCCGCGUGAGCGUCAAGCUCCCGAGGAACGUCCGGGCUCUAUAGGGAACGGUGGUGGAUAACAUCCACUCGGGGUGACCCGCAGGCUAGUGCCACAGAAAGUAAACCGCCGCGGUAACGCGGUAAGGGUGAAAGGGCGAGGUAAGAGCUCACCGCGCAACGAGUGAUCGUUGUGGCAUGGUAAACCCCACCGAGAGCAAGACCGAGCAGCAUGCGUUGAGGCGUCCCGUUGAGCAUGCGGGUAGGUUGCUUGAGCUUAUCGGCAACGAUAAGCCUAGAUGGAUGGUCGCCACGCUUGUUCUUCAAGCGGACAAAACCCGGCGUAUCGGCCGGCUCAUUGG